AGGAAUAUUGGUCAAUGGGCGAGAGCCUGAACCAGCCAAGUAGCGUGAAGGAUGAAGGUCCUACGGAUUGUAAACUUCUUUUAUACGGGAAUAAAGUUUCCUACGUGUAGGAUUUUGUAUGUACCGUAUGAAUAAGCAUCGGCUAACUCCGUGCCAGCAGCCGCGGUAAUACGGAGGAUGCGAGCGUUAUCUGGAUUUAUUGGGUUUAAAGGGAGCGCAGACGGGAGAUUAAGUCAGUUGUGAAAGUUUGCGGCUCAACCGUAAAAUUGCAGUUGAUACUGGUUUCCUUGAGUGCAGUUGAGGCAGGCGGAAUUCGUGGUGUAGCGGUGAAAUGCUUAGAUAUCACGAAGAACCCCGAUUGCGAAGGCAGCUUGCUAAACUGUAACUGACGUUCAUGCUCGAAAGUGUGGGUAUCAAACAGGAUUAGAUACCCUGGUAGUCCACACGGUAAACGAUGGAUACUCGCUGUUGGCGAUAUACUGUCAGCGGCCAAGCGAAAGCAUUAAGUAUCCCACCUGGGGAGUACGCCGGCAACGGUGAAACUCAAAGGAAUUGACGGGGGCCCGCACAAGCGGAGGAACAUGUGGUUUAAUUCGAUGAUACGCGAGGAACCUUACCCGGGCUUAAAUUGCAGACGAAUUACGAGGAAACUUGUAAGCCGCAAGGCGUCUGUGAAGGUGCUGCAUGGUUGUCGUCAGCUCGUGCCGUGAGGUGUCGGCUUAAGUGCUAUAACGAGCGCAACCCUCGUGGUCAGUUACUAACAGGUAACGCUGAGGACUCUGGCCAGACUGCCAUCGUAAGAUGUGAGGAAGGUGGGGAUGACGUCAAAUCAGCACGGCCCUUACGUCCGGGGCUACACACGUGUUACAAUGGGAGGUACAGAAGGCAGCUACCCGGCGACGGGAUGCCAAUCCCCAAAACCUCUCUCAGUUCGGACUGGAGUCUGCAACCCGACUCCACGAAGCUGGAUUCGCUAGUAAUCGCGCAUCAGCCACGGCGCGGUGAAUACGUUCCCG
rnacentral:rRNA from 1 species